ACUUAAAUAGCUUAUAUUUAGAGUAUAAUAUUGAAGAUAUUAGGGAAAUUUUUUAUUUUUAAGU
rnacentral:tRNA from 1 species